rnacentral:misc_RNA from 1 species
ACGAAAAUUUUGAUCUUUUAUUUGUUUACCCGAGAACAUGCAUACGAUGUAAUAACUCCCAAAACUCCAGACAGCCAGUUCUGCCACCACCAAGACCACCAUAAAAGCGAAUUCAGCAGAAAGAUAAUACUCAUAAUGCAGCACUUUGCCGCAACAUAAUCAAGAACCCCAUCCACCACCACCUGGAGUUAAAAUCUGAAGAAUUUCCCCAGCCUGCACCUCAACUGUGUUCUUACCUCCAAGGUAAACUCUGCGUUUAUCUUUUGUAAUCAGGUAAUUAGCCCCACGUGCACCGUCUUUUCCUCCUUUUAAACCUCUUGGUGCGUGAACUCGCCUCUCUGAAAGAAUGCUCACUACAACUGGUCGUCUGAACUCUAUCUCCCUUAUGAGCCCAUCACCACCUUUAUUAAGUCCACUUCCCCCACUGUUCUCUCUAAGUCCAAAUUUAUGCAAAAGAACGGGACACCUCUGCUCAAAAAUUUCUGGAUCAGUCAUACGGGUAUUAGUCAUAUGGCACUGGACUCCACUCGUCCCAUCCCAGCUUGGACCAGCCCCACUUCCACCCCCAAUUGUUUCAUAAUAACCGAAAGUAUUAUCCCCAAAAGUGAGAUUAUUCAUGCAACCCUGAGAGCAAGCACAGGCCUGAAAUGCAGUAAGUACAACAUCAGUUACUCUUUGAGAUGUGAGAACAUUACCUCCAACCACAGCAGCCUUCUCACUUGGAGAGAGGAAUGAUCCUGGAGGAAUAUAGAUUUUAACAGGGGCUAAGCAACCCUGGUUGAGAGGAAUAUCAACAUCCACCAAACAGCGAAGGCAGUAUAUGACUGAUGCAGCUGUUACUGCCUCUGGCGCAUUCCAAUUGCCAUACACCUCGGGGCUAGUCCCACUAAAAUCAAAAACUGCUUCCCCUCUCUCUGAAUCAAUAGUAAGUUUUAGAUGUAUCACAGACCCAUCAUCCAUGUAAUCAUCUUCCUUGAUGGUUACAGAAGUAUUCUCUUCAAAUCUAGCUGAUUGAGACGAAACUCUAGCAGCAACUGACUUGAGCAUUUCUCUCACUGCUGCUUCUGCAUUAAGCUGCACAUAGGUCAUGUAUGCCUGAACAGUGUCCAAACCAUACUGCUCAAUUAGUUCUUUGAUAAGGGAAAUUCCCCUCUGGUUUGCAGCUACUUGUGCAUGUAGAUCUGAUAGAUUAUCUUGAAGGCGGCGGCUUCCUGGGAUUUUACGAGCUGAUUCAUCAGAACAUGGGAACUUCAGAAGUUUGAUGAUUCCUUCCUCUUGAAAAACUCCUCUUUCCACAAGCUUAAAUGCUUUAAUUGCAGCUCCUUCUUCCCAUAUAGACUUUGAAAAUGGAGGCAUACUUCCCGGAGUAAUACCCCCAAUCUCUGCAUGAUGCCCUCUACUUGCAACAAAAAAAACCAGUUUACCCUUAUCAAAAACCGGCGUGAUGACAGUUAUGUCUGGAAGAUGGCUUCCUCCAGCACAAGGAUGAUUCGUAACCAACACAUCACCUUCAUUCAGAUUUUCACCCCAGUAAUUGAGUUGCCAUCGAACUGUACUUGACAUAGCUCCAAGGUGCACAGGUACAUGGGGAGCAUUAGCAACUAGUCCCCCAUCAGGACCAAAAAGAGCACAAGAAAAAUCUAGCCUUUCCUUGAUAUUUGUUGAAAUGGAAGUCCUCUGCAAAGUCCGUCCCAUUUGCUCAGCUAUCCCCAUAAACCUGUGAUUGAAAAUUGAGAGCUGUACAACAUCUGCAACUUUUUCAGAUAUUUUCACAGUGCUUAUAUUAGAUUCAAUUUCAAUUUUAAUGUUUCCAUAUUUGGUUAUAAUAGCUUUGCAAUUGGGCUCUACUAUGACAGUACUAUUUCCAUUCAUGAUAAUUGCAGGGCCAGGAAUAAUAUGUCCAGGCCCCAGAUUUUCAAGCUUGAAUAGAGGCGCAAGGUGCCAUCCCUUCCCAAAGUAAACGUUGUAGUGACCUUCCACUCUUGGGGAACCAGAAAUUGGUUCCAAGACCUGCGGCUUCAAUAUGUUAGUGACACCAACACCACGAACUCUUACAUCACAGAUAAGAAUAUUCCUGUUUUGCAGUUUGAAUCCAUAUUCCUGCU